rnacentral:rRNA from 1 species
AGCGAACGCUGGCGGCAGGCCUAACACAUGCAAGUCGAACGAAGCCUUCGGGCUUAGUGGCGGACGGGUGAGUAACACGUGGGAACGUACCUUUUGGUUCGGAAUAACGCAGAGAAAUUUGCGCUAAUACCGAAUGAGCCCUUAGGGGGAAAGAUUUAUCGCCGAAAGAUCGGCCCGCGUUGGAUUAGGUAGUUGGUGUGGUAAAGGCGCACCAAGCCUACGAUCCAUAGCUGGUCUGAGAGGAUGAUCAGCCACACUGGGACUGAGACACGGCCCAGACUCCUACGGGAGGCAGCAGUGGGGAAUCUUGCGCAAUGGGCGAAAGCCUGACGCAGCCAUGCCGCGUGAAUGAUGAAGGUCUUAGGAUUGUAAAAUUCUUUUACCAGGGACGAUAAUGACGGUACCUGGAGAAAAAGCCCCGGCUAACUUCGUGCCAGCCGCCGCCGUAA